UCAUUACAUCAAUAACCUACACUACUCGCCGUCACCACCAAUCGCCGCCGCCACCACUACCCGUCACCACUACCUGUCGCCGUCACCAUCGCCGCCAUUACAUCGCCACCACCACCGCCGGCUCCGCACGCCACCGCCCCCAUCACCUCCACCACUGCCAUUACACCGCCGCGCGGGUACCGUCGUAGUUCAUAUAAUGUGAAGUAUAUAUCUUCUAAACAAUUUGUCCAAAUCUUAUAGAUUUCAUCCAUUCUGCUGGUUGAUUACUUCAACUACCAUAUCGAUCUUUCUUCUUUGAACCAUUCCAAACACAUCAUCAUCAAUUAUCAUAAUAAUAAUGGCAUCUUCAUCUUCGUCAUCUUCUCGGAGUUGGAAGUACGAUGUGUUUAUUAGUUUUAGAGGUGAAGAUACCCGCAAGACCUUUGUUGACCAUCUAUACUCUGCUUUUCAACAACAUGGAAUUCUUACUUACAAAGAUGAUGUAUCACUUGAUCGAGGCGAUACCAUUGGCCCAUCUCUCUUGAAAGCUAUAGAAGAAUCCCAGAUUUUGGUGAUCGUAUUUUCUGAAAACUAUGCCGAUUCUUCAUGGUGUUUGGAUGAGAUUUCACAUAUUAUGAAAUGUAGGGAUAGUGAGACAGGGCAACUUGUUAUCCCCAUAUUCUACCACGUGGAUCCAUCUGAUGUUAGAAAACAAAAAGGUAAAUACGAAGAAGCAUUUGCCCAACACGAGCAGUCAGAAAACAACAAGAACAAAGUUGACUCAUGGAAAAAAGCACUCGUUAAUGCAAGUAAUAUUGCUGGAUUGGAACCCAAGCAAGUCGCCAACGGGCAUGAAGCAAGCUGUAUCCAAGAAAUUGUUGGUGACAUUUUAGACAAAUUGUCAUCUUUGGAUUCAGCAGUUGAGGAUGAAUACCUUGUUGGCAUGGGAACUCGAUUGCAACAGUUGAGAUCCCAUUUGAAAAUUGGAUCAGGUGGUGUGAGAAUGGUUGGGAUAUGGGGGGUUGGGGGUGGCGGUAAGACUACCCUUGCAACUUCUCUUUACAUGGAAUUCUCUGCUGGUUUUGAUGGUUGUUGCUUUGUUGAAAAUGUUCGGGAGGAAUCCAAACGACAUGGUUUGAAAAUUCUGCAAGAAAAAAUUCUCUCAACUGUUUUUAACAAAGAAAUUAAAGUUGAGAGUGUUGAAUUAGGAAAACAUAGGAUUAAGCGUAUGUUAUGUCGUAGGAAUGUGCUAAUUGUUCUUGAUGAUGUUGAUCACCUCCAGCAACUAGAGGCUUUAGCUGGAUACCAUAAUUGGUUUGGUAAUGGGAGUCGAAUAAUAAUUACAACUAGGGAUGAACAAGUCCUAAAAUCCCACAGGGUAGACGGGGUAUGUCCUGUAAGUUUAUUAUCACGUGAUGAGGCUAUUCGCCUCUUUAAAAGAUUUGCAUAUCAAGAGCAUAAUCCUGUAGAAGAUUUCAAUAAGCUUUCUUUACGUGUGAUUUCAUAUGUUAAUGGCCUCCCGUUAGCACUUAAAAUCUUAGGGGCUUUUCUUUAUGGAAAAGACAAGGAUCUAUGGAUUAGUACACUCUCUAGACUAAAAGAUCAUCCAGAAAUGGAUAUUGUGGAAACACUCAAAAUCAGCUACGACGGACUUAAACCCGUGGAGAAAGAGUUAUUCUUGGAUAUUGCAUGUUUCUUCAGGAGGGGGAGGAAAGAUGAAGCAAUGGUGAUACUUGAUGCUUGUGGUUUUCACCCUCUUAUAGGGGUAAAGGUGCUGGAACAAAAGGCUCUCAUAACUGUUUCAAAGGAUGGCAGGUUUGAUAUGCAUGAUCUGGUUCAAGAAAUGGGACACUACAUUGUCAGAGGGGAACAUCCUCACAAUCCUGAAAAUCAUAGUAGGGUUUGGCUAUACAAAGAUAUUGAAGACAUAUGUUACAGGAAGGCAACCACGGAAAACGAUAAGAUUGAAGCCAUAAGAUGUUAUCCAAUUGUGAAUUCAUCCAACUUCAUUAUGUUUGUUUCAAACAUGAAGAAACUAAGAUUCCUUGAAGUAACCACCACUUCAUUUGACGAAGGGCCCAGCUUUCUUUCAAAUGAGUUGAGAUAUUUAAGCUGGUAUCGUUAUCCAGCAAGUUUAUUCCCUGAAAGUUUUCAAUCUACAAAGCUUAGUGUUCUAAAACUGAGGGGAAGCUUGCAAAAAGAACUUUGGAAGGAUUACAAGGAUCUACCAUGCUUAAAAGAGAUAGAACUCUCAGACAUGAAAGCACUAGUCAGGACACCUGAUAUUGGUGGACUCCAAUGUCUUAGGAAAUUGAUACUUGAUAAAUGUGAAAGUUUAGAAGAGAUUCAUCAAUCACUUGGAUCUCUUUCAAGUCUUGUUCACAUAUCUGUAGAAAAGUGUGACAAGCUUACAAGGUUUCCAAAGAUUGUUAAGAUGGAAAAACUCAAAGUUCUUGAAAUUUCAUAUUGCAAAGCACUUAGUGAGUUUCCAGAUAUUGAAGCAAACCUGAAUAACUUGGAACGAUUACAUUUGUAUGAAGUUGGGAUUCAGGUCCUACCCUCAUCAGUGGGAGAAUAUUGUACCAACCUUACUUUUCUGGGUUUGAAUUAUUGUUCCAAAUUAAAGAGCAUAUACGGCAACUUUCAUGCCUUAAAAGGUCUACAGAGAUUUGAAUUAGAAGGUUGCGAACAAUUAGAGAAGUUGCCAAAUGAUCUAUUUAACAAAAAUCUAGAUGAGCUUCAUUUAAGCUUAAAUUUGACGCGUAGUAGUAUUAGACAACAUAUUCUUUCUCGUCUGCCACGUUCCUUAAGAAAGUUGGAUCUGAAUAGGUGUGAAUUGAAAGAUGGAGAUAUACCCAAUGAGAUUGGUGACUUAUCGAAUUUACGAGAGCUAGUUCUACGGGAUAAUGAUUUUACACGAUUAGAUUUCAGCCUCUCACGACUUACUCGCCUCAAACACCUGAAUCUGCUCGGUUGUGAAGAUCUUGUUGAAUUGCCUGAGCUCCCAUCAAGUCUAGCUAUUCUCUGUGCAGACUGGUGCAAGUCACUUGAAUUCAUUAAAGAUGAUGUGUAUAGAAGAUGUAACUGGUUAUGUGAAGUAUCAAUAGGGGGAUAUAGAAAGAAGAAUAUAAGAGGUGGGGAGAGAUUACUAGAAUCCAUGCUUCAGGGAAAGGCAGUUAAAAGUGGGUGUAUGAUCCUUCGACUAAAUGAAGGGUUAGAAAUUGCAAGGGGAUUUGAACCUUGUGUGGUAAGAGGGGAGAGAUGUAGAAUGCAACUUCCAGAGAAUUGGUACCAUCACUUUUCUGGUUUCUUAUUCUGCACAACUUCCCAUGGCGAAAGUAAUAGUCCAAUUAUAAGAAUGAAGCACGUCGAAAAGUCAGAAAAGUCAGUGGGCGAUUCUCAAGAGGAUGAUGAUGAUGUUAACAGAACAUCCACAUGGGUGACGUAUUUGCCAUUUAGUUUAUUGAGAGACACUUCAUGGUGGGACUUGACAUCCACUGCCAUUGAGGUGGAGUUUGACAACUCAAAGUAUUCAAAUAAUAGAAUUAGAAAGUGUGGAUUGAAGCUGGUUCCCAAGAGAGCUGCUGCUGAAAGUAGUAGUAGCAGUGGUCAAAAGGAAACAACACCCACCCAUUCCUCCUCCUCCUCCUCCUCUGAUGAUGAUGAUCAUUAUAAAUGUAAAUUUGAUAUUCUACAUGAUUCAAUGUCUGCUCUCACCUUCAGAUCAUAUGAAAGAUGAUGCAGCAGCAGGGGAAAAGAAGAGGGGGGCCUUUUGACCCAGUGGUAUUCAAAAUUACUAAUCAACCAAGAGGUUCCGGGUGAAGUCCCAUUGUGUGGUGCGAGAAUCAAAAGACAAUGAUGAAUGUGUCGAUUAUGAGGAUGAUAAAGACGACAAUGAUAAGAAUGUCCUAGCUGGGAAUGAUGGUUCUGGGCAUAGUUG